rnacentral:misc_RNA from 1 species
ACACUUUAUGAGCCCUUUAUGAAGACGAAGAGUCUGUACCGGUCACUCUAGAGAUCCACGACCCCACGGGCAGACAAAAAAGAAGCGCAGGGGAAACAACUGCCGAAAAUAUCCAAGUGAAGGUGACCUCUCCAUCUGACGUCACGAUACUCUACGUGAAACGUGAACGACGUCACGUGACCACGCCUAAAAUUUACAGUGCCACUAAAAAUGGUUUUUUUGAGGAGGAGACAAUGAAAGCAGGGGAGAGUAUUUCAUACGUAAACGACACAGUCAAAACGACUCUCACCCUGACGCAAAAUAACAUGACGUCACAGAAAUUUUAUGGAAGCUUUGUUAAAGAUGGCCAUGUACAUCUAAUCGAACCGGACCCCUUGGCGGGCCCGGUGGAGGGGGAGGAAGUAGGACCCCACGUGGUCAAUAGGAUAGAACUGGUCGUCGAUUACUUCCGGGACGCCGUGGUCAUUCAAGAUAAUGAGGAUUUACCGCUGAAGGAAGACAGCCAGAGAAUCAGUCGCGAAAGACGUCACGUGACACGAAACACCAUUCGAACAGAUCCCAAUCAACAAAACCGAGAGCGUCGUCAAGUGAUUAAGAACGACCUGUAUGUGGAGUAUGGGAUCGUAGCAGACUACAAGAACUACCAGAGAUGGUUUUCCACCACGAAUAGCAGUCUAUCAAACUCUGAGAGAGAUCACGUGACAAAGACACGGAUGGUGGAAUUUUACGAUCACGUAGUCAACUCGAUAGACGCUAUAUUCCGGUCGGCAGAUAGUGAGAAAUACACAUUUAACAUUAUUCUCUCUGGCAUCGUCAUCUUCAACGAGACCAACAGUCCGCCUUGGACCCAGCACCACGCUGUGUGCCCCGGAUGUGACAUUGUAGACGACUACGAGGUGCUCAGACAGUUCUCUGAUUGGUCGAAACAAUUCCUACAGAACAUCAUACCACAUGACCACGCCGCACUGUUUACCGGGUUUGACUUAUACUACAAAGAUCUGGAUUCCCCCAAAACAAUAGGUUUGUCGUUCCUGAGUCGGAUGUGCACUAACUGGUCAGUGUCUGUGAUAGAGGAGAAGAUGAACGCUCUCACAGUGCACGUCGCAGCGCACGAACUCGGACACAAUUUUGGGGCCUCUCAUGACGGCAGUCAGAACGCAGCGGUGUGCACGGCCACAGACCUCAACCUGAUGGCGUCCAAGAUGUCACGUGUGACGGACCCGACCAAGGCCCGCAACCCUUGGACAUUCUCCGCCUGCUCACUCAACAGCAUUUAUGAAUACGUGGACAAAUUGACUAGGGAGAGACGGAACUGCUUGCUCGGAGUCCCUGCAUUACAAAACAGAAACUUCCUUCCACAGCCGGGUCUUGUUUACUCAGCAGACGAACAAUGUCAGAGUUCCUAUGGCAACCUUUCACGUGUUUGUAGGAAUUAUCACCAUGGAGAUUGGAACACACUUUGUUAUGGACUUGCUUGUUUAGUACCCAAACAAUCAGAAUGUCACGUGAUAUUUCCCCAUGAUGGGACACCAUGCGGAUAUCAGAAGUGGUGUAUACAAGGACUUUGUGUAAACAGUUCAAAGGCCAGUAAGGUUUCAGACGACUGUCCGCUUGGUGAUGACCCGUUUGUGACGUGUUCACCGUCUGAUUGUAAAACAGGAAGCGGAAGACAUGGGGACUGUUGUCACUACUGUCAACAACUUAAAACAACAACAUCAACAACAACAACAGCAACAACAGAAAUUCCAACAACUUCACUUAGCACUAGCACAACAACAUUUACAGAAAAUAAAUCGGUGUCAGAAGAGGACAAUCCUGAUAUUACUACACAUGUAAACACAUGGAGACCGACCUCAACAUCGCCGCCAAACAACUCCAAUAACACCACAUCAUCCCCGAACGCCAGUCCAGGUCCCUACACCACCACUCGCCCUGUUCCUGAAUCCACCCCAGUCGCAGACAACACCACCCAUUUUGUCUCUGGAACCACCACGGUCCCCGACACCACCACCUACAGCACGAGGUCCACCCCCAAGACGAUAAGUCAUAUACCGAUCAUCACGCCCCACCUCGAGGCCUCGAUGGGCGUCUUCCUGUCCCUGGUCGCUUUACUGUGAUGUAGAUUUGUUAGUUUUAUGACGAUUGUUCAUUUCUUUUGAUCUUGAUUAUGUGAUGCCAUAUUAUGACUCCAUUUUAAUGUGACAAUGAAGUCGUCAUCCGGUGCAGCUUUAGCUAUGUAGAUACGUUCGUGUUCAUGUUUAGUGACAAUUGCAACCCCUCACAAGUUGUUUUUCACAAUAAAUGUUUCUAAAAU